GAAAGAUAUAUAUAUAUAGAUAUAGAUAUUUUAAAAUUGCAUUACCGCCUGGCUUUAUUGCAUCAGGAUAAUACAGUGGGGUUGGAACGGGCGGGGGGGAGCGGGAGGGAAAAAUUAAAUAACCCUUACUCAAACCCUAUCAAUAUUUUCCCCCCUCCCCCCCCCCUCUAGGUUCUCCUCUUUUCUUUCCUUCUCCCACCCCCACCCCCCCAACUCUUUAAUUGGGAUGACUGUUAGCCCUUCUUUAAAUUUUUAUUUCUCCCCUUUUCCUCAACCACCCCCAGCCUCCGAAAGCCUUUGAUUAGGAUGAUUAUUAAUCCUUUUUCAUUUUUUAUUAUUAUCUCCUCUCCUCUUUCCCUCCCCCCUCCUAAGUCUUUGAUUAGGAGGAUUAUUAGUCCUUUUUAAUUGUAUUAUUUUUUCUCUUUCCCCUCUCCCCUCUCCUAGGUCUUUGAUUAGGAUGAUUAUUAGUCCUUCUUAAUUUUUAUUGUUCUCUCCUCUUCUCUUCCCCUCUUCCAUCCCCAACCUUCAAAGUCUUUGAAUAUGAUUAUUAUUGGUCCUUUUAAAUUCUGUAUUAUCUUCUCUCCUCUUUCCUUCCCACCCCCGCCCCCCCCCAAAGUCUUUGAUGAUGAUAAUGAUUAGUCAUUUUUCAUUUUUUAUUAUUAUAAUUUCCAACCAGAGAGAGAGAAGGCACCAACAGAUCACCAGCUUUCCUUCUUCUGCCUCAGCCUCAGUCCAGAUCAAAGAAGAAAACGACCUCCUUGAACCCCACGAACCGAUUGCGAAAAAUCUGGUUGGAGACCAGAACCAGAGCCCCGGCGUGACUUUGUGAACGUCCCGGUCCCCCUUGUCCAGGGAAGUGAAUCCGGAUCGGCACCGGAUCUCCGAUCUCAAUGGGAAAGGACGCUUUUCGGAAAGCCACCGAGUCCAAAAGUUGGGUUUCAGGGGUAAGGGACCAAGAAAAGCGGGACCUGAGCUCUUCUUUUCAAUGCACAGAUACGGCUUGGGUCUAGAGAGAAGAAAAGUCGGGUUUGGUUGUAUGGCACAGAAGACGUCUUCCCUGGUUUCCUUCGGCUCCGAAUUUCUCCCGACGCCGAGCUCCAUGAGAAGAGCGUUUGAAAGCCUUGCCAAAAGAUGGGCAGAAGACAAAGAAGCCUCCUAAAAAUCAUCUAGAAGGUCAGGGGUUCACAGACUGAACUAAAGAGGUUUAUAUUCCAGUAAUGAUGUUGAAGAUUGGAAGUUGUAACCCAGAUCGCUGAGAGCCGAUUGGAGCCGAUCUCUGACCAAAGUCUGCUAAGACCUUUUAACGGCAUCAGUGUGAAGCGGAAAGGCAUCAGCUUCCCUCAAAUUGCCCUUGGACUACAACUUCCAUCAUCCCCCACCCUCUGAGAAAUUCUUCAGUGGAAACGUCUUCCCCGUUGAAGUGAAGAAGAAUGGCUUCUGAAGUGACUGAUCAGGCAAGGGACUUUAAUAAAGGAACACAGCUAAGUUCUUCAACGGUGAAGUUCAUAGCGUUGGUAGUAGCUCUUACCUCUCUUGAUUCAACCGAGGAGUUUUGCAUUUUAUACCCGCUGUACAUGCCUUACACAUCCCAGUAUUCCAGUAUUAACAGUACAAAAAUCUGAACAAAAAUCCAUCAGUGAUACCUUUUA